rnacentral:rRNA from 1 species
AUUGAACGCUGGCGGCAGGCCUAACACAUGCAAGUCGAGCGAGCGGCGGACGGGUGAGUAAUGUAUGGGGACUGCCCGAUAGAGGGGGAGAACUACUGGAAACGGUGGAUAAUACCGCAUACUAUCGGAUAACCCAUAUGGGAUUAGCUAGUAGGUGGGGUAAAGGCUCGCAUAGGCGACGAUCUCUGGCUGGUCUGAGAGGAUGAUCAGCCCCACUGGAACGGAGACACGGCCCAGACUACUCCGGAGGCAGCAGAGGGGAAUAUUGCACAAUGGGCUCAAGCCUGAUGCAGCCCUGCCGCGUGUCUGAAGAAGUCCUUAGGGUUGUAAAGUUCUUCCACCGGUGAGUCGUUACCCGAAGAAGAAGCACCGGCUAACUCCGUGCCAGCAGCCGCGGUAAUAC